rnacentral:rRNA from 1 species
GAUGAACGCUGGCGGCGUGCCUAAUACAUGCAAGUCGAGCGAACAGACGAGGAGCUUGCUCCUCUGACGUUAGCGGCGGACGGGUGAGUAACACGUGGAUAACCUACCUAUAAGACUGGGAUCAUUUCGGGAAACCGGAGCUAAUACCGGAUAAUAUAUUGAACCGCAUGGUUCAAUAGUGAAAGACGGUUUUGCUGUCACUUAUAGAUGGAUCCGCGCCGCAUUAGCUAGUUGGUAAGGUAACGGCUUACCAAGGCAACGAUGCGUAGCCGAACUGAGAGGGUGAUCGGCCACACUGGAGCUGAGACACGGUCCAGACUCCUACGGGAGGCAGCAGUAGGGAAUCUUCCGCAAUGGGCGAAAGCUUGACGGAGCGACGCCGCGUGAGUGAUGAAGGUCUUCGGAUCGUAAAACUCUGUUAUUAGGGAAGAACAAAUGUGUAAGUAACUAUGCACGUCUUGACGGUACCUAGUCAGAAAGCCACGGCUAACUACGUG